CCCGGGCUGUCUUUGGGGAGUAGCCACCCUUCGAUCCGCGAAAGGGACCUGCGUCAACAGACUUGUCCGCGCCACGCCAUGUGGCCGACAUGGCGUAGGUGACUCACCCGGUGUCUGCAUGGCACCGGUGAUUCAAGCGAGACCAAUGACUGCGCAAGCCUUUCGUGCCGGGAGGGUUGGCGCGGUCAAUGGUGUCCGUAUCCCGG
rnacentral:sRNA from 2 species